rnacentral:rRNA from 1 species
GGAAGGUCCGGGCGUUAUCCGGAUNUAUUGGGUUUAAAGGGAGCGCAGGCCGCCGGGCAAGCGUGUUGUGAAAUGCAGUCGCUCAACGUCUGCACUGCAGCGCGAACUGCCCAGCUUGAGUGCGCGCAACGUUGGCGGAAUUCGCCGUGUAGCGGUGAAAUGCUUAGAUAUGGCGAAGAACUCCGAUUGCGAAGGCAGCUGACGGGUGCGUAACUGACGCUCAUGCUCGAAAGUGCGGGUAUCGAACAGGAUUAGAUACCCUGGUAGUCCGCACGGUAAACGAUGGAUGCCCGCUAUUCGGCCCAUGCGGUUGAGUGGCCAAGCGAAAGCGUUAAGCAUCCCACCUGGGGAGU